rnacentral:rRNA from 1 species
CACGGGGGGAGCAAGCGUUGUUCGGAAUCACUGGGCGUAAAGGGCGUGUAGGCGGUCAGGUAAGUGGGACGUGAAAUCCCUCGGCUCACCCGAGGACCUGCGUCCCAUACUGCUUGGCUUGAGUAUGGGAGAGGAUGAGGGAAUUCCUGGUGUAGCGGUGAAAUGCGUAGAUAUCAGGAGGAACACCGGUGGCGAAGGCGCUCAUCUGGCCCAACACCGACGCUGAGGCGCGAAAGCCAGGGGAGCAAACGGG